CAGCGCCACGAGUGGCGAUCAUGUUUAUUUGGCCUAAAGCGUCCGUAGCUGGUUGAGUAAAUCUCUUGUGAAAUUGUUCAGCUUAACUGAGCAGCGUGCAGGAGAGACUGCUUAGCUAGGGACCGGGAGGAGUCAGAGGUAUGCUGGGGGGAGCGGUAAAAUGCUAUAAUCCUCGGUAGACCACCUGUGGCGAAGGCGUCUGACUAGAACGGGUCCGACAGUGAGGGACGAAAGCCAGGGGAGCAAACCGGAUUAGAUACCCGAGUAGUCC
rnacentral:rRNA from 1 species